rnacentral:rRNA from 1 species
GACGAACGCUGGCGGCGAGCUUAACACAUGCAAGACGAACGGAAAGGCUCUGCUUCUGUGGGGUGCUCGAGUGGCGAUCGGGUGAGUAACACGUGAGUAACCUGCCCUUGACUUUGGGAUAACUUCAGGAAACUGGGGCUAAUACCGGAUAGGAGCUCCUGCUGCAUGGUGGGGGUUGGAAAGUUUCGGCGGUUGGGGAUGGACUCGCGGCUUAUCAGCUUGUUGGUGGGGUAGGGGCUUACCAAGGCUUUGGCGGGUAGCCGGCCUGAGAGGGUGACCGGCCACAUUGGGACUGAGCUACGUCUCAUCAGACGACUGGAGGCAUCGGAGUGGAGUUUUGCGGUAGGUGCGGAAGCCGGCUGCAGCAACGCCGCGAGCUGGAGAGCGGGCUUCGGGUUGACACCCGCUUGCGCCUGUGGCACAUGGUGUGUGACGUUAAUGGGCUCAGAGAGACCGAGUAACUGCGUG